AACGCACCAGGUGGUCUGUAUCAACAACAUAAAUUUCCAGAGAAAAUCUGUGGUUGGUUAUGUGGAGCUGACAAUAUUCCCCACGGUGGCAAACCUGAAUAGAAUCAAGCUUAACAGUAAACAAUGUAGGAUAUACAGAGUGAGAGUCAAUGAUUUGGAAGCAGCUUUUAUUUAUAAUGAUCCCACGCUGGAAGUUUGUCACAGUGAAUCAAAGCAGAGAAACCUCAACUACUUUUCCAACGCUUAUGCUGCCGCUGUCAGUGCUGUAGACCCAGAUGCUGGAAACGGAGAGCUGUGUAUUAAGGUGCCGUCAGAGCUGUGGAAACAAGUCGAUGAGCUAAAGGCCCUAAAAGUGCAC